rnacentral:rRNA from 1 species
GACGAACGCUGGCGGCGUGCUUAACACAUGCAAGUCGAACGGAAAGGCCCUGCUUUUGUGGGCUGCUCGAGUGGCGAACGGGUGAGUAACACGUGAGUAACCUGCCCUUGACUUUGGGAGAACUUCAGGAAACUGGGGCUAAUACCGGAUAGGAGCUCCUGCUGCAUGGUGGGGGUUGGAAAGUCUCGGCGGUUGGGGUUGGACUCGCGGCUUAUCAGCUUGUUGGUGGGGUAGUGGCUUACCAAGCCUUUGACGGGUAGCCGGCCUGAGAGGGUGACCGGCGACAUGAGGACUGAGAGACGGCGCAGAGGGCAACGGGAGGCAGCAGUGGGGAAUAUUGUACAAUGGGCGGAAGCGUGAUGCAGCAACGCCGGGGGCGGGAUGACGGCCUUCGGGUUGUAAACCGCUUUCGCCUGUGACGAAGCGGGAGUGACGGUAAUGGGUGAAGAAGCACCGGCUAACUACGUG